UACGUAGGGUGCGAGCGUUUAAUCGGAAUUACUGGGCGUAAAGGGCUCGUAGGCGGCCAACUAAGUCAGACGUGAAAUCCCUCGGCUUAACCGGGGAACUGCAUCUGAUACUGGAUGGCUUGAGUUCGGGAGAGGGAUGCGGAAUUCCAGGUGUAGCGGUGAAAUGCGUAGAUAUCUGGAGGAACACCGGUGGCGAAGGCGGCAUCCUGGACCGACACUGACGCUGAGGAGCGAAAGCCAGGGGAGCAAACGGG
rnacentral:rRNA from 1 species